UCCCUAGUGGCUCAGAUGGUAAAGCAUCUGCCUACAAUGCAGGAAACCCGGGUUCAAUCCCUGGGUCAGGAA
rnacentral:tRNA from 1 species